GUCGACCGCUGGCGGCGUGCUUAACACAUGCAAGUCGAACGGAACGGCCCUGCAUUUGUGGGGUGCUCGAGUGGCGAACGGGUGAGUAAAACGAGAGUAACCUGUCCUUGAUUUUGGGGUAACUUACGGAAACUGGGGUUAAUACCGGAUAGGAGCUCCCGCCGCAUGGUGGGGGUUGGACAGUUUCGGCGGUUGGGGAUGGUGUGGCGGUUUAUGAGCUGGUUGGUGGGGUAGUGGCGUACCAAGGAUUUGACGGGUCGUCGGCCUUAGAGGGUGACCGGGCACAAUGGGACUAAGGUACGGACCAGUCGCCUACGGGGGGCAGCAGGGGCGAAUAUUGUACAAUGAUCGGGAGCCGGAGGCAGCAACGCCGCGUGCGGAAUGACGGCCUGCUGGGUGAAAACCGCUGUCGCCUGUGACGAAGCUGGAGUGACGGUAAUGAAUAAAGAAGCACCGGCUAACUACGUG
rnacentral:rRNA from 1 species